rnacentral:rRNA from 1 species
GACGAACGCUGGCGGCGUGCUUAACACAUGCAAGUGGAGCGACGAACCAGGGCUUGCCCUGGGGCAGAGCCGCGAACGGGUGAGUAACACGUGGGUGACGUGCCCCGAUGACCGGGACAACCCGGGGAAACCCGGGCUAAUACCGGAUGUGCUGUCCCAACCUCAGUUGGGAUUGGAAAGGAAGCUUCGGCCUCCGCAUCGGGCUCGGCCCGCGGCCCAUUAGCUUGUUGGUGAGGUAACGGCUCACCAAGGCUGCGAUGGGUAGCUGGUCUGAGAGGACGAUCAGCCACACUGGGACUGAGACACGGCCCAGACUCCUACGGGAGGCAGCAGUGGGGAAUCUUGCGCAAUGCGCGAAAGCGUGACGCAGCAACGCCGCGUGGGGGAAGAAGGCCUUCGGGUUGUAAACCCCUUUCAGGAGGGACGAAGCGUGGGCGGUUAAUAGCCGGCCCACGUGACGGUACCUCCAGAAGAAGCCCCGGCUAACUACGUGCCAGCCGCCGCGGUAAUAC